CGGCUUGAUGAUGAAGAAGUCGAGUCGUACAUCCUCUCCGGCCUCGACAUCGAAUGCAAUCUUGUGGUGUCGGCUGUUGCGGCUCGUACCGAGCCGAUCACUCUUGGUGAGUUAUUCACACAACUUUCCGCCUUUGAGC